rnacentral:misc_RNA from 1 species
CCUAUCGCCGACCGGCGAUCCGAUAGCUAAAUUCCAGCUAUUGUGGAUUAGACAACGUUGCAAGCAUUCGUCGCCAUUUCUUGAUGUGUUGACUGCGUUUUGUCGUUCGUGUGUUUGAAGGAAUAUUAAAAGCAACAAAUUCUGGGUUUCUCAAGUCAAAUAACAUGCAGAAACUAGAAACGGCGAGUUCGGAAAAACUAACUAAGGAGAGUUCUCCUGUUUCAAAUGCUGUCUCUACGCCUUCCAUAUCUACACCCCAAAAUUCUGUCAAUGGUACUGCUGCCUCUGUGGGAAAUAACAGUGGAAGAGGAAAACGUGGAAGUGGUAGGGGUGGCAUAGGAAGAGGGGGACAAUCAGGGAGAAACAAUCAAGGAAAUGGGAAAAAUGGUAACAACGUUGGCCGGUUUCAGCGUAAUACAAAUCAAGUUGGUCAAAGCCAUGGUGAGAAAAAAUGGGAAGAUAAUUCACAUGGUAAUGGGCAUCAAAAACUGUCAGAGGAUCGCCAAUUACUAGAGAAACUUGCAUCACUGUCCAAUUCUACUGCUGAUCUACCAAUCAGAUCCUUUACAGAAACUAAAUUUUCAGGCCGCAGCCGUCUGUAUGUUGGAAACCUUGGAAAUGAUAUAGUGGAGCAGGAUUUAAAGGAACACUUUUCUGCAUAUGGAGAAAUUGCAGAAGUCUUCCUCAAUAAGGAAAAGGGAUUUGCUUUUGUCAGGCUGGAUUACCGUUCCAAUUCAGAAAAGGCAAAACGAGAAUUGGAUGGGAAAGUUUUGAAAGGUCGUACGUUGCGCGUUCGCUCUGCUCCACAUAGCGCCGCUAUUCGUGUGAAAAAUUUGUCUCCCUUCGUAACAAAUGAAUUAUUGGAAAAAGCCUUUUCCAUAUUCGGAGAUAUUGAAAGAGCUAUAGUGGUUGCUAAUGAGCGUGGACAAUCAACGAACGAAGGUGUUGUUGAAUUUGUGCGCAAACCAGGAGCCCAGGCUGCAAUUCGGCGUUGCACCGAUGGCUGUUUUUUCCUAACUUCGUCAUUACGUCCCGUUGUAGUAGAACCAAUGGAACAAUUAGACGAUGAAGAUGGAUUUUCAGAACGCGCAUUUGCUAAAAAAACUCCGGAGUUUACUAAAGAACGCGAAACGGGGCCAAGGUUUGCUGAACCUAAUAGCUUCCAGUUUACUUACGGUCAACGCUGGAAGCAAUUGUUGGAACUGUAUAAGCAAAAAAUGGAUGCUGUUGAGCGGGAAUUGAAAAUCGAAGAAGAUAAGUUGGUGUCCCAGAUGGAAUAUGCUCGAUAUGAACAUGAAACCGAACUGCUUCGUGAACAACUCAGACUACGUGAGCAGGAUCGCGAGAGACAAAAACGUGACUGGGAAUUGAAAGAACGCCAACACGAAGAAUCCAGGUUACGAGAGGAGGAAACUCUUCGUCGACAACAGGAUGAAAUGCAGCAUCGAUUGCGCCAGCAGGAAGACGAAAUGCGUCGGCGUCAACAAGAAAACAACAUGUUCAUGCAAGAGCAAAACACAGAUGGAACUCCUCCAGAUUUUCGUCGACCUCUCCAACCUCCCACAUUUGAUCGGCCAAUGAUGGGUGGUAAUGGACCUCAUAAUCUCAUGGAUCUGCAAAUGAUGAUGAAUUGGGCAUAAAACACAUGAAUGUGUAAACGAUGCUCAUUUUGUGCAAAGAAAGCAGAAAUUCCUGGUGGAGCCUGAACAACUGGAUUGGGAUGGAUUUUCAUUGUGAGCUUACACCAAAAGGAUGAACGCUAAGGAAAUUGUUUAGUCAGCGUCACUGAUCCUGUUUCGUAAUUACUCCCAGUGCUCUUUCUGAUACACAAUUUUUUUUCGCUUAAUAGGAAGAAUUGUGAUGAAAGACAAAAUAUCUCGUAAAUUGGUGCAGUACGAGACGCGUUUCGUAGAGGUGGAUUUUUUCCAUUUUAAUGUUGAAGCAACGCUGCAAAUAAUUUUUAUCGCUUUUUAAUACUUCAAAAAUAGAUUUUUUUACGUGAAAUAACCUAUUAUAUUUGUUUUCAUUACUUAUGAUUGCAUUUACUAUCUCCUUUCAAUUUAUUUAUCUUUUAGUGUAUAAGAAUUGAGACAUUUUCCAUACAUCCAUGUUUACUUGCUACCAACCUUAACGCUUUAUUAUGUUUUGGUUUAAGGGGUAAGAAUCCAUUUAUGAUCUGCACAUAAACUGUAGGUGAAUAAUGGGCAAAUUCGCUACUGUUAUAUCCCUUAUGCUUAUAUUGCAUGUAUACUUAUUAAUUCACGGAAGAUAUUGAAUUGAUUCCUACCUCUUUUGGAUCAAUCUUAAUAUCUACUGGGGGGAGGUUUAGCACGGCAUAAAACUGGACAGAUUAUAACGUCUGGAAUACAUAAUUACGAUAUUAGUAUAUUGUCACAGGAAUGUUGUAUUUCUCACAAACAAGAAGUAAUACAACAAGCGAUGACUUAAA